GAGCGUCAUUGCACCCCUCAAGCUCAGCUUGGUAUUGGGCCUCCGCCUCUCGGCGAGCCCGAAAGACAGUGGCGGUCCGUCGUGACUUCAAGCGUAGUAAAUUUAUCUCCCGCUUUGGAAGCUCGCGUCGCGGCCGGCCAACAACCCACAAUUUUCCAAUGAUUGACCUCGGAUCAGGUAGGGAUACCCGCUGAACUUAA
rnacentral:misc_RNA from 1 species